rnacentral:sRNA from 1 species
AGAGCAGCAGGACAAAGUGCUCGGGACAAGGACAGAGGGCUGAGAGUAGCCAUGGGCUCUGGAGGAGAGAGCCUCCUGGGGGGCAGGGGUUCCCUGCCUCUGCUGCUCCUGCUCAUCAUGGUGGGGGGACCAGAUGAGGAGGAGGAGGAGGAGGAGGAUGAUUAGUGUGUGAGGCAUGGCUCAGGACUCCCCGCCCCAGAUCCUAGUCCACCCCCAGGACCAGCUGUUCCAGGGCCCUGGCCCUGCCAGGAUGAGCUGCCGAGCCUCGGGCCAGCCACCUCCCACCAUCCGCUGGCUGCUGAAUGGGCAUCCCCUGAGCAUGGUGCCCCCAGACCCACACCACCUCCUGCCUGAUGGGACCCUUCUGCUGCUACAGCCCCCUGCCCGGGGACAUGCCCACAAUGGCCAGGCCCUGUCCACAGACCUGGGUGUCUACACAUGUGAGGCCAGCAACCGGCUUGGCACGGCAGUCAGCAGAGGCGCUCGGCUGUCUGUGGCUGUCCUCCGGGAGGAUUUCCAGAUCCAGCCUCGGGACAUGGUGGCUGUGGUGGGUGA